AAGUCGUAACAAGGUUUCCGUAGGUGAACCUGCGGAAGGAUCAUUAUCGAGUUUGAAGUGGGUCUUUGAGCUGGCUUUUCACGAAGCACCGUGCUCGGGCCCCGCUCCAUCCACUCAACCCCUGUGCACUUUCGAUGGCGUGGUCUCGUUGAGUGAUGUUCCAUUCAUUUGGACAUCGGAGGCCGCGACGUCGUCUUAUCACAAACUUAUUACAAUAGUCUUGUCGAACGUGGAUGCUCGUAAGGGCGGAAACACAGUACAACUUUCAACAACGGAUCUCUUGGCUCUC
rnacentral:misc_RNA from 1 species